rnacentral:rRNA from 1 species
UACGGGGGGAGCAAGUGUUAUCCGGAUUCACUGGGUUUAAAGGGUGCGUAGGUGGGUCUGUAAGUCCGUGGUGAAAUCUCCGAGCUUAACUUGGAAACUGCCAUGGAUACUAAAGGUCUUGAAUACUGUGGAGGUCAGCGGAAUAUGUCAUGUAGCGGUGAAAUGCUUAGAUAUGACAUAGAACACCAAUUGCGAAGGCAGCUGGCUACACAAAUAUUGACACUGAGGCACGAAAGCGUGGGGAUCAAACAGG